UUUCUGAAAUUGACUGCCACCACCAUAAAAUUCAUUAUUUCUUUCUUUUCAUUUUAGAACUGCUGGUGAGGACACUGGAGUAAUAUACCCGUCUGUAGAAGACUCUCAAGAAGUGUGUACCACCUCUUUUUCCACCUCCCCGCCAUCCCAGCUGAUGGUUCCUGGGAAGGAAGGUGGGGUACCCCUUGCUCCCAACCAGCCUGUCCAUGGUACCCAGGCUGACCAGGAGAGACUGGCAACCUGCACCCCUUCUGACGGAACCCACUGUGCUGCCACACCCUCCAGUAGUGAGGAUACUGAAACCGUAUCAAACAGCAGCGAAGGACGGGCCUCCCCUCACGAUGUGUUGGAGACCAUCUUUGUCCGAAAAGUGGGGGCUUUUGUCAACAAACCCAUUAACCAGGUGACCCUGACGAGUUUGGAUAUACCCUUUGCCAUGUUUGCUCCCAAGAAUUUGGAGCUGGAGGAUACCGAUCCAAUGGUGAAUCCUCCAGAUUCCCCAGAGACUGAAUCUCCUCUCCAGGGCAGCCUGCACUCAGAUGGCUCCAGCGGGGGCAGCAGUGGCAAUACCCAUGAUG
rnacentral:sRNA from 1 species